CACGCGUACACACACGAAUGGACACAGCCUCAUGUUUGUCAGGACCAAAUCCAGCUUACAGUCCAGGUUGAAGAAAAUCAACAAAUGAGACCACUUGAGUUCAGCGGCCGAGCAGAUGCAGCCGGUGUCAAUUACAAGAAGGAUUGUGGAACCACUUAAGUGUAAGCUGGAAAGUAAAAACAAUGUCUGACAGCCAUGGUGAUGGACGACUGACAAGCGUCACACCCACCUCAACGCAUCCAAUUAUUUUGCAAUAAGUAUUUACAUGAAGAAGUUGUUGCCGCCUAGCCGGUUUGUCAUGCUUGAAUCGCAGUUCUUCUUCUUCCUCUUUAUUUAUUUAUUUAUUCAUUUAUUUGCUUUAACAUUAACAAGCAUUCAUGUUUGAAAUGAACACAAGCAACAGUUUGGCAGAAACUCAAAAAAAAACUAAAAAUACUGGUACACGUAGCCUACAAUUAGAUUUCUGUGAUGUUGAGUUUGUCAUUUUAAUUAGUAUUUAUGUUGACUGAGGUUUUGUUUGAAUAAAAAUGAAAUGUUAUGGUCAAAAUUGGGUGACGCUUAUUUUCAUGCUAUUUAUUUAUUUUUGUCAAUACCUUUACAGAGUGACAAGCCGAAUGUGAUUUUAGUUACGCUGGUGUUUAUAUAGGUUGAAGUUGAUAAGAGAAAGUCUUUUUCAUACAGCAACUCGGAUGAAAAACGAAAUGUUUUCAUUCCAUUUGGGAUUAAAUUUGCCGUAACAAUUUAAAUCUCUUCAUUCUCUAUGGCACCAAACCAGGUGGACAUAGAGCAGAACUUUCAUGUUUUUUCAGAAGCAAACAAUGUUCCUUCAUAACAUGCCAUGGGUGGAGGUGGUGUCACACAGCAGAGUCCGUGGCAUAAUUUUCUCAGCAAGGUGGUGAAGGGUGCUGUGC